ACGGGGGGAACGCGAAGAACCUUACCAGGGUUUGACAUGUCCGGAAUCUCGGUGAAAGCUGAGAGUGCCUUCGGGAGCCGGAACACAGGUGCUGCAUGGCUGUCGUCAGCUCGUGUCGUGAGAUGUUGGGUUAAGUCCCGCAACGAGCGCAACCCUCGUCGUUAGUUGCCAGCAAGAAAGAUGGGAACUCUAGCGAGACUGCCGGUGACAAACCGGAGGAAGGUGGGGAUGACGUCAAGUCAGCAUGGCCCUUACGUCCUGGGCGACACACGUACUACAAUGGUAGGGACAAAGAGCAGCGACUUCGCGAGGAGAAGCGAAUCUCAGAAACCC
rnacentral:rRNA from 1 species